CCUACGGGUGGCAGCGGUGGGGAAUAUUGGACAAUGGGGGCAACCCUGAUCCAGCCAUGCCGCGUGUGUGAAGAAGGCCCUCGGGUUGUAAAGCACUUUCAGUGAGGAAGAACGCCUGGUGGUUAAUACCCAUCAGGAAAGACAUCACUCACAGAAGAAGCACCGGCUAACUCCGUGCCAGCAGCCGCGGUAAUACGGAGGGUGCGAGCGUUAAUCGGAAUUACUGGGCGUAAAGCGCGCGUAGGUGGCUUGAUAAGCCGGUUGUGAAAGCCCCGGGCUCAACCUGGGAACGGCAUCCGGAACUGUCAAGCUAGAGUGCAGGAGAGGAAGGUAGAAUUCCCGGUGUAGCGGUGAAAUGCGUAGAGAUCGGGAGGAAUACCAGUGGCGAAGGCGGCCUUCUGGACUGACACUGACACUGAGGUGCGAAAGCGUGGGUAGCAAACAGGAUUAGAUACCCGGGUAGUC
rnacentral:rRNA from 1 species